CUCAUUCUCUCUCCAGCCACCCUGUGAAGAGGUGCCUUCUGCCAUGAUUGUAAGUUUCCUGAGACCUCUCCAGCCAUGGGAAACUAUUAACUGGAAGUGGAAUUUAUAUCUUUCAUUUAAGGAAUUUCUAAAUACAGGAAACUCAAUGCAUUUUACCAUCCAAAAGUGUUUGACAUGCCUAAGGAAAUGGAGCAUGAGGUUAUAUUAUAUAUCACAACCGUAUGGGACAGGUGCUGUUCUCCCCAUUUUAUGAAGCAGGAAAUUGAAGCUCUGAAAGGGUAAUGAAUAGGCCCACAAGGACACAGUUGGUAAAGGAAGGGCUUGAAAUUUGAACCUACUGUAUUACAAAUUCUGCAUGCAAAAGUUGAACUGUGAUACUUAUGAGAUGUGUCCUUUGAUAAAACACACACCUGACUAAAUGUACCCAGGCAAGAUGGAGGAAAUAUCAUACCUUGUCAACAACGUGUGUAAAAAAUGGGCAUCAUUAUUUAUAACUAUUUUAAGUCCUACUAACUAGGGUAGGUAAUAGUAUUCUACCCUGCCAUGACCAGGCCACUCCUGGGGCACUGAGUUUAAUACUCAGGGCGUUCAGGAGACCCAUCUAUUCACCGAUUCACCUUGGCUGCUUUUGCACCAAAAUAGAAGAGUGGAGUAGUUGCAAUAGAGCUGAAAAUAUUUACUAUCUAUCUGGUUCCUUAAAGAAAAAAUUUUCUGUGCCCUGAUCUGAACCAGUGUUUUCUAAACCUUGAUUAUACUCCCACCUCCUUAAUCUUUUUUGUGUAUGGCAUCUUUGAAGUCCAUUUACACUAUUAUUUACUUUGUAAUUUUUUAAGUCAGUACGGUAUUUUUUAAAAAUUUAAACACUAUUGUAACCUCAUCCUAAGCAAAUGAUAUCUUUGUAAU
rnacentral:lncRNA from 10 species